AAGUCGUAACAAGGUUUCCGUAGGUGAACCUGCGGAAGGAUCAUUACCAAAUCUUUUUUUACUCCCAACUCUUUUGCUGGCAACUCUGCCUGCGGCAGAGUUGGGAGUAAAAAAAAAUACAUAACAACAAUAACAUUUGAUCAGUCAGUGAUGUAUGUAUGUACAACAACACAACAAACACACACCUUUUAACAAUGGAUCUCUUGGCUCGU
rnacentral:misc_RNA from 1 species